GAAAACUAGAACCUUCCUUUUCGUUAGUCAUUAAGCCUUUUUCUUCUUUCUUUCUUUCACCACCGUCACUUUCUUCUUGUGAAGGAUUUCUUCCUCCUAAACCGCACCCAUCACCAUAACCAGCAGGCCUCAAGCUCUUCUCUCCAUUUCUUCCCUUGUUUCUUCCCUUUUAUCCUUCCUCUACAUGAAGUUCUUUCCUUUUCCUUCCCCAUAGCUGAAAUUGAGGUGGAUUGGUGAGUUGAUUCAAGAGUUCGAAGCAAAGGAAAUUUAGGUGUGAGAACUGGUGUCUUGGAGUGGGGAAAAUCCAGCAAAAAUCAGGAACUAUAUACUUGAAUUGGUAGCAAAUUAGCAUCCCAAAAUUUUAAGAUAAGUGAUCAGUUUU